rnacentral:rRNA from 1 species
UACGUAGGGUGCGAGCGUUAAUCGGAAUUACUGGGCGUAAAGCGUGCGCAGGCGGUUCGUUAAGUCAGAUGUGAAAGCCCCGGGCUCAACCUGGGAACUGCAUUUGAAACUGGCGGGCUUGAGUAUGGCAGAGGGGGGUGGAAUUCCGCGUGUAGCAGUGAAAUGCGUAGAGAUGCGGAGGAACACCGAUGGCGAAGGCAGCCCCCUGGGCCAUACUGACGCUCAGGCACGAAAGCGUGGGGAGCAAACAGG